UCGUGAUUGUUGUCUUCUUCUUAGUGCACAACGUUGUAUCAUAUGAUGAUAUCGUUUUGUAUUGUAGACCCCUCUCUAGUGUCUAGUGCGUCUGAUUCUGCAAUAUCUUGUUACGUUAGAGCAGGGUGGAAGCAGAGGCAGCUGCCCUGAGUGCCCGCUUUCCAUUUACCAGCAGAGGCAAAGGAGGCAAGGGAAUUAAAGGAUUGCAUUGCAGUCGUUCAGUCGUUGAUGAAUCUACUUUAGACAAUCCUAGUAAAGCAGAUAUUAAACGAGUUAUAGCAGUCAUAGCACCAUCGUCUGGCAAAAGUAAAACGUUUUGAUAUAGAUCUGGAUGCGGACACUCUUUUCACCUCCAUUUGAUUCAAGCAAUCGUUCAUCUCAAUUGCCAAGAAGACUCUGGGCACGAGGUUGCUCAAGUGCGUCCAUCUCAUGCAGUAGACUGUGACGUAAACACGGUUUGUGACUUUGUGCCAGUCUAGCAUGAAAUUGUUACUUUAACACGGUUACGGUCAUGCUCGGGUAUGACUAUGGGUAUGGCUAGUUAAGUACGACCCUGAUCACGGAGGUGGACCCACAGUUCAGUGGGUGGACCGUGGACCUGGUGUGUUAAUCUGUUCGGAUGUUUCUGUCUCGCAGCCUACGACUCUCCCUCGGGGGGACAAACUCAACAAAGGUAUAUGUCGCAGCCUCGCAGGCUCAGGAACGAAAAGAGACCAAUAAUAAAUCCAAGUUCUGAGUUUCCAAAGUAGAUAGUGGAACAUUGAAACGUCUGAUUGACCGAUCCAGCGCCUAUCUGCCCUGGCAUAUCGCACUUAUCAGAAACGAUGUCCCUAGAUCUGUAUGAAAUGUGUUUAAAUGUGAUUAGCCGUCAAUUUAAUUUAAUCAAUAUAACAUACAUAAAAGAUUUGCCAAAGCACAUUCUUGAACAAAUCCUUCAGAGACUAAAGCCAUAUGACUUGGAAACAAUUGAAAAUGAAGAAUUCCUAAACUUGAAAGGCAUUUCUUCCGACUCAUUGUGGAAGGCUCACUUCAUAAGUAACUUUAAACAUGUUGUCAAAUUGCCAACAUUGAAUUGUCAUUGUUUCAAUUCGAAGC